rnacentral:rRNA from 1 species
UACGUAGGGGGCAAGCGUUGUCCGGAAUCAUUGGGCGUAAAGCGCGUGUAGGCGGCCUUGUAAGUCCGUUCUGAAAGCCCGGGGCUCAACCCCGGGAGGCGGAUGGAUACUGCAAGGCUCGAGUACGGAAGAGGCGAGUGGAAUUCCCGGUGUAGCGGUGGAAUGCGUAGAGAUCGGGAAAGAACAUCAGUGGCGAAGGCGGUCUGCUGGGCCGUUGCUGACGCUGAGGCGCGACAGCGUGGGGAGCAAACAGG